UGCUGCUUCGCUGACGAGUGGCGGACGGGUGAGUAAUGUCUGGGAAACUGCCUGAUGGAGGGGGAUAACUACUGGAAACGGUAGCUAAUACCGCAUAACGUCGCAAGACCAAAGAGGGGGACCUUCGGGCCUCUUGCCAUCGGAUGUGCCCAGAUGGGAUUAGCUAGUAGGUGGGGUAACGGCUCACCUAGGCGACGAUCCCUAGCUGGUCUGAGAGGAUGACCAGCCACACUGGAACUGAGACACGGUCCAGACUCCUACGGGAGGCAGCAGUGGGGAAUAUUGCACAAUGGGCGCAAGCCUGAUGCAGCCAUGCCGCGUGUAUGAAGAAGGCCUUCGGGUUGUAAAGUACUUUCAGCGGGGAGGAAGGCGAUAAGGUUAAUAACCUUGUCGAUUGACGUUACCCGCAGAAGAAGCACCGGCUAACUCCGUGCCAGCAGCCGCGGUAAUACGGAGGGUGCAAGCGUUAAUCGGAAUUACUGGGCGUAAAGCGCACGCAGGCGGUCUGUCAAGUCGGAUGUGAAAUCCCCGGGCUCAACCUGGGAACUGCAUUCGAAACUGGCAGGCUAGAGUCUUGUAGAGGGGGGUAGAAUUCCAGGUGUAGCGGUGAAAUGCGUAGAGAUCUGGAGGAAUACCGGUGGCGAAGGCGGCCCCCUGGACAAAGACUGACGCUCAGGUGCGAAAGCGUGGGG
rnacentral:rRNA from 1 species